GGACUACAAGGGUUUCUAAUCCCGUUUGCUCCCCUGGCCUUCGUGCCUCAGUGUCAGGAACUGCCCAGGCAUUCGCCUUCGCCACUGGUCUUCCUCACGAUAUCUACGCAUUUCACUGCUACACCGUGAAUUCCAAUGCCCUCUACAGUCCUCUAGCAAAGCAGUAUCGAAUGCAGUUUCCAAGUUGAGCUUGGAGAUUUCACAUCCGACUUACCUCGCCACCUACGCACCCUUUACGCCCAAUGAAUCCGAACAACGCUUGAGACCUCUGUAUUACCGCGGCUGCUGGCAC
rnacentral:misc_RNA from 1 species